rnacentral:rRNA from 1 species
AUUGAACGCUGGCGGCAGGCCUAACACAUGCAAGUCGAACGAGUGGCGGACGGGUGAGUAAUGUCUGGGAAACUGCCCGAUGGCGGGGGAUAACUACUGGAAACGGUAGCUAAUACCGCAUACCAUAGGAUGUGCCCAGAUGGGAUUAGCUUGUAGGUGAGGGAACCGCUCACCUAGGCGACGCUCCCUAGCUGGGCUGAGAGGAUGAACAGCCACACGGGAAAUGAGACACGGUCCAGACUCCUACGUGAGGCAGCAGUGGCGAAUAUUGCAACAUGGUGGCAGUCCUUAUGCAGCCAGGGCGCGGGUAUUAAGAAGGCUUUCGAGUUUUAAAGUACUUUCAGCGGGGAGGCGGUACCCGCAUAAGAAGCACCGGAUAACUCCGGGCCAGCAGCCGCGGUAAUAC